rnacentral:rRNA from 1 species
UUGUGAGGUUAAGCGACUAAGCGUACACGGUGGAUGCCCUGGCAGUCAGAGGCGAUGAAGGACGUGCUAAUCUGCGAUAAGCGUCGGUAAGGUGAUAUGAACCGUUAUAACCGGCGAUUUCCGAAUGGGGAAACCCAGUGUGUUUCGACACACUAUCAUUAACUGAAUCCAUAGGUUAAUGAGGCGAACCGGGGGAACUGAAACAUCUAAGUACCCCGAGGAAAAGAAAUCAACCGAGAUUCCCCCAGUAGCGGCGAGCGAACGGGGAGGAGCCCAGAGCCUGAAUCAGUGUGUGUGUUAGUGGAAGCGUCUGGAAAGGCGCGCGAUACAGGGUGACAGCCCCGUACACAAAAAUGCACAUAUUGUGAGCUCGAUGAGUAGGGCGGGACACGUGGUAUCCUGUCUGAAUAUGGGGGGACCAUCCUCCAAGGCUAAAUACUCCUGACUGACCGAUAGUGAACCAGUACCGUGAGGGAAAGGCGAAAAGAACCCCGGCGAGGGGAGUGAAAAAGAACCUGAAACCGUGUACGUACAAGCAGUGGGAGCACGCUUCGGCGUGUGACUGCGUACCUUUUGUAUAAUGGGUCAGCGACUUAUAUUCUGUAGCAAGGUUAACCGAAUAGGGGAGCCGAAGGGAAACCGAGUCUUAACUGGGCGUUAAGUUGCAGGGUAUAGACCCGAAACCCGGUGAUCUAGCCAUGGGCAGGUUGAAGGUUGGGUAACACUAACUGGAGGACCGAACCGACUAAUGUUGAAAAAUUAGCGGAUGACUUGUGGCUGGGGGUGAAAGGCCAAUCAAACCGGGAGAUAGCUGGUUCUCCCCGAAAGCUAUUUAGGUAGCGCCUCGUGAAUUCAUCUCCGGGGGUAGAGCACUGUUUCGGCAAGGGGGUCAUCCCGACUUACCAACCCGAUGCAAACUGCGAAUACCGGAGAAUGUUAUCACGGGAGACACACGGCGGGUGCUAACGUCCGUCGUGAAGAGGGAAACAACCCAGACCGCCAGCUAAGGUCCCAAAGUCAUGGUUAAGUGGGAAACGAUGUGGGAAGGCCCAGACAGCCAGGAUGUUGGCUUAGAAGCAGCCAUCAUUUAAAGAAAGCGUAAUAGCUCACUGGUCGAGUCGGCCUGCGCGGAAGAUGUAACGGGGCUAAACCAUGCACCGAAGCUGCGGCAGCGACACUAUGUGUUGUUGGGUAGGGGAGCGUUCUGUAAGCCUGUGAAGGUGUACUGUGAGGUAUGCUGGAGGUAUCAGAAGUGCGAAUGCUGACAUAAGUAACGAUAAAGCGGGUGAAAAGCCCGCUCGCCGGAAGACCAAGGGUUCCUGUCCAACGUUAAUCGGGGCAGGGUGAGUCGACCCCUAAGGCGAGGCCGAAAGGCGUAGUCGAUGGGAAACAGGUUAAUAUUCCUGUACUUGGUGUUACUGCGAAGGGGGGACGGAGAAGGCUAUGUUGGCCGGGCGACGGUUGUCCCGGUUUAAGCGUGUAGGCUGGUUUUCCAGGCAAAUCCGGAAAAUCAAGGCUGAGGCGUGAUGACGAGGCACUACGGUGCUGAAGCAACAAAUGCCCUGCUUCCAGGAAAAGCCUCUAAGCAUCAGGUAACAUCAAAUCGUACCCCAAACCGACACAGGUGGUCAGGUAGAGAAUACCAAGGCGCUUGAGAGAACUCGGGUGAAGGAACUAGGCAAAAUGGUGCCGUAACUUCGGGAGAAGGCACGCUGAUAUGUAGGUGAAGUCCCUCGCGGAUGGAGCUGAAAUCAGUCGAAGAUACCAGCUGGCUGCAACUGUUUAUUAAAAACACAGCACUGUGCAAACACGAAAGUGGACGUAUACGGUGUGACGCCUGCCCGGUGCCGGAAGGUUAAUUGAUGGGGUCAGCGCAAGCGAAGCUCUUGAUCGAAGCCCCGGUAAACGGCGGCCGUAACUAUAACGGUCCUAAGGUAGCGAAAUUCCUUGUCGGGUAAGUUCCGACCUGCACGAAUGGCGUAAUGAUGGCCAGGCUGUCUCCACCCGAGACUCAGUGAAAUUGAACUCGCUGUGAAGAUGCAGUGUACCCGCGGCAAGACGGAAAGACCCCGUGAACCUUUACUAUAGCUUGACACUGAACAUUGAGCCUUGAUGUGUAGGAUAGGUGGGAGGCUUUGAAGUGUGGACGCCAGUCUGCAUGGAGCCGACCUUGAAAUACCACCCUUUAAUGUUU